GAGGGAUUUGGAUGAAGAGAGGAGAAACCGUUGUGCAAAGGAACGGAUCUAUCUGGAAAGAAGCCAGUCCACAGCCAUUAUUCACUCACAGCAUCUAAUGUUGGAGGAAGAGAUGGUGGGAACCAUUGAUUUAAGGCUGUUCUGGCAGGGUAAGAGGUUUUCUGGAAGUGCUGAGGAAAGCGGUGGGGAAUUUUCUGCUCUGGACUAAUGGUGACUGAUGAAAAUGAAAAUGCCUGAGGUGCAAUUCUGAAUUGGAAGGGCUUUCGCAGUGUCAAUUGAUACCAAAUAGAGACACUCUCCACUGUCUGUCCCCCCUCUGCUCAAAACAACAGGAGUAAUCCCAAACGCGUGCCAGACCAGCAAGCCAGUGAAUCUGUGCGUGUGUGCACAAGCACGUGCACAAGCGUGUGUGUGUACGCACACACCUCUCAACUUCUCCAGGAUCCACACUUAAUGCCGCUGGCUUCUGUUCAAUCCGUCUGCGGCCAACAAAGUUGAAAACACACUAUAUAAGGCCAAGGCUCCAGGAUUCUUCUGACUGCAGUACCCUAAACUAGAGAGGAGGAACAGAGAGAGAGCUCUGGAUGCAGACUGGGACUAGAACCCACUGUUGUGUUCUGUUCUUCCCUCAUGCCUGCAGCUUGACCUUUACAUAAUCUAUGUUAUCUCUCUCUGGCUUUCUCUCUCUCUCUCUCUCUCUCUCUCUCUCUCUCUCUCUCUCUCUCUCUCUCUCUCUGGCUUUCUCUCUCUUUCUCUCUGUGGCUUUCUCUCUCUCUCUCUCACACACAUACACACUCGUUCUCUCUCUUCCUUUUUCUUCCCCCCUUUGGUUUUUCCUCUGUUGAUGCACACGCAUGCUUAUGAUGGAAAGAGGUAGCUAUGUGCUUAGUGUAUGAAAAGCAGGACUUCCUUAACAGGAUGGGGGGGGGCUUGGAAUGUGAUUGACAGAACACUCUAAAUCCCUCCUUCUUUCCUCAUAUCAGUCUCUGUUUCUGUCUCUCUUUCUCUCGCUCUAUUUUUCUCUCUAUCUCUCCUUCUCUCUCUCUGUCUCUCCACCUCCCUGUCUAUUUCUACCUCUCUCUCACUGUCUUUUCUCACUCUCUCUCUUUCUCUCUCGCUCUACCCUCUAUCUCUCUCUCUAUCAUCACAUUCUCAGCGUACAGGUUAAACAUGAGUUGUCAGGCUCAGAGCCAGUUCCACUCAUGACCAUGCUUUAGCUGGUUCUACAGCACACAGUCAGUCCCAGGUGCACUGUGUGUGUACAUUCCUCUGCAUCUACGCAGCACGCUGUAGAUCUGAGAGAAUGUAUUCUUCUAUUUCAGGUUGGAAAUCAGCGCUGUUGGUGUACAGGCAGGUAAAUAAUUCAACAGAAUGUAAUGUAAAACACUGGGUGGCUGGUUGAAUGUUUGAAUAGGAAGAAGAGCUGGUUUUGUGUUAUCCAAACAUUCAUGCAUUGUGAGCCACCUUUUCCAACACUUUUUCCGUUUGUCUUGAGAUAAAGCCAGAUCAAUGAAACCAAUGUUUCUAGCCAGGAUCCAGCCUUAAGAGGUAUCUCAGCAGGAACCAUAAAUAGGAAAUUAUUUAGGAUACUUGAGAUGAUUUUCGUGUGCUUGCUGGUGCUUGAUCUCCUUUGGGGUAGAUUUAGAUUUCAUGCACUCUGGGUGAACUUGGUGCUUUCCCUCCAGACAAGCUGGGAGGGUAGAUUAUACCAUCAGUCAUCGGCCCUUUACCCGGCUAUUAGCUCUGCCAUACAGUCUGUCUGCUAGCCCAAUCUAUCUCCUGUCUAUCUCUGCCAUACAGUCUGUCUGCUAGCCCAAUCUAUCUCCUGUAUAUCUCUGCCAUACAGUCUGUCUGCUAGCCCAAUCUAUCUCCUGUCUAUCUCUGCCAUACAGUCUGUCUGCUAGCCCAAUCUAUCUCCUGUAUAUCUCUGCCAUACAGUCUGUCUGCUAGCCCAAUCUAUCUCCUGUCUAUCUCUGCCAUACAGUCUGUCUGCUAGCCCAAUCUAUCUCCUGUAUAUCUCUGCCAUACAGUCUGUCUGCUAGCCCAAUCUAUCUCUUGUAUAUCUCUGCCAUACAGUCUGUCUGCUAGCCCAAUCUAUCUCCUGUAUAUCUCUGCCAUACAGUCUGUUUGCUAGCCCAAUCUAUCUUCUGUAUAUCUCUGCCAUACAGUCUGUCUGCUAGCCCAAUCUAUCUCCUGUAUAUCUCUGCCAAACAGUCUGUCUGCUAGUCCGAUCAAUCUCCUGUUUAUCUCUGUCAUACCAUCUGUCUGCUAGUCCAAUCUAUCUCCUGUAUCUUUCUCUCUUGCUUUCUUUCUCUCUCACUCUAUCUCACUCCCCUCUUUCCCUCCCUCUCUAUCUACCAUCUGUCUGCUAGCCCAAUCUAUCUCUUGUAUAUCUCUGCCAUACAGUCUGUCUGCUAGCCCAAUCUAUCUUCUGUAUAUCUCUGCCAUACAGUCUGUCUGCUAGCCCAAUCUAUCUCCUUUAUAUCUCUGCCAUACAUUCUGUCUGCAAGUCCAAUCUAACUCCUGUAUAUCUCUGCCAUACAGUCUGUCUGCUAGUCCAAUCUAUCUCCUGUAUAGCUCUGCCAUACAGUCUGUCUGCUAGUCCAAUCUAUCUCCUGUAUAGCUCUGCCAUACCAUCUGUCUGUUAGUCCUAUAUAUCUCCAGUAUAUCUCUGCAAUAGCAUCUGUCUGCUAGUCCAAUCUACGCCCUGUAUAGCUCUGCCAUACUGUCUGUCUGCUAGUCCAAUCUAUCUCCUGUAUAUCUCUGCCAAACUGUCUGUCUGCUAGUCCGAUCAAUCUCCUGUUUAUCUCUGUCAUACCAUCUGUCUGCUAGUCCAAUCUAUCUCCUGUAUCUUUCUCUCUUGCUUUCUUUCUCUCUCACUCUAUCUCACUCCCCUCUUUCCCUCCCUCUCUAUCUACCAUCUGUCUGCUAGUCCAAUCUAUCUCCUGUAUAUCUCUGCCAUACUAUCUGUCUGCUAGUCCAAUAUAUCUCCUGUAUAUCUCUGUCAUACCGUCUGUCUGCUAGUCCAAUCUAUCUUCUGUAUCUUUCUCUCUUGCUUUCUUUCUCUCUCACUCUAUCUCACUCCCCUCUUUCCAUCUACCAUAUGUCUGCUAAUCCAAUCUAUCUCCUGUAUAUCUCUGCCAUACUCUCUGUCUGCUAUUCCAAUCUAUCUCCCGUAUAUCUCUGCCAUACUGUCUGUCUGCUAGUCCAAUCUAUCUCCUGUAUAUCUCUGCCAUACUGUCUGUCUGCUAGUCCAAUCUAUCUCCCGUAUAUCUCUGCCAUACCGUCUGUCUGCUAGUCCAAUCUAUCUCCUGUAUAUCUAUGCCAGUGAAGGCUGUUGCCAUGGCGACACUGUGUGAUAGCCCUUUGAAGUGGCAUGUUUGUGCCUGGGAAACAGAGUGGCUUCUGUAGAAGCAAGGAGUGUGUCCUCAUCUCUCCUCUCUCUCUGUCUCGAUUUCUUGCUAUCUAUCUUUCUCUCUCGCUUUCUUUCUCACUCUAUCUCCCUCCCCUCUUUCUCUCUCUCUCUCUCUCUCACUUUCUCACUCUCUCUAUCUCUCUCCCCUCUUUCCUUCUCUCUCACUUUCUAGUUCACUAUCUCCCUUUCUCCUUCCAUCUCUCUUUCUCUCCACCCCUAUCUCUCAUUCUACCUGACAACCCACCCAUUCACUCUCCUUCCCUCUCCGUCAGUGUUAAAGGCCUUGGUCAUGUUUGUCUUCUCCUCUGUGUCUAUGCACUCUUUCUGAGGUGAAAUGGCCAAAAGCGGCAAUACAGACAGACCUCAAGUGCCUCCGUGUGGCCCCUGGACACUCAACAAAGACCAGAGUAUGGGCCAAAUAACGAUUAUUUCCUUAUACAGAUGUAGGAUCUUAAUUUGACCACCCUUUUGCAGGAGAACAGAAGGAAGAAAAAAACUUGUAGUGUAUUUGAGGUUUAAAAAGGUUUCUGAAGUUUGUAAUUUCCACUUUUAAAUUUCAGACUUGAUUUUCCCUUUAGAAAAAUGUAUCAACCACUACAAAAAUGUCCAUUAAAUUAAAUUCACAUAAUAAUUCACAUUUAUUAUUUUCCUGCAGGCUCAAAUUAAGAUCCUUCAUUUGUAUAUUCUCAGACAUUCUCAGACACAUUAACAGAACAAAACAAGUCAUUGACAAAGUCAUUACAGAUUUCCUACAUUUCAUGACUGCCCACGAAGUGUUGUAUUUCUAAAUUCUGUCUCUAAUAAAUCCAUUUCUCCCUCCUCGAUAGCCAAUUAUCUGCUCGGAGCUCAUCUUAAUGUUAUGGUUAUGUAAGCAGUAGAUCAGUAAUCCCUAGAUUGAUUUGUGGCCAAAUAAAGAUCAAACGCGACCGCC